AUGGUUAGAUUAUAUCUCCACGGACUUUUCACUUGCAGUGGUGUUCCGGGAGGUGCAAGUUAUGAAACCCCUUUCACAACUCAUCAGACAUUCGCUAAACAUGUAACUCAAAUAUUCCUUUGUCCAAUCAAAUUACAGAAACAUAAUUUUCUUGUUACAAUAACUUCUACUUCAUUUUUGAAAAUCUUUCGAAUGAUUUCAAAAGAUCCAGACUUACGUCUCAUCAAACAAAUAUCCAUAUAUCUACUUGAGUCAUUUCUGAAGAUAUAUAAAUCCACUACUUGCAACAACAUUUAUUGA
rnacentral:rRNA from 1 species